rnacentral:misc_RNA from 1 species
AAGGAGUCUAACAUCUAUGCGAGUGUUUGGGUGUCAAGCCCGAACGCGCAAUGUAAGUGAACGGAGGUGGGAACCCUUAAGGGUGCACCAUCGACCGAUCCUGAUGUCUUCGGAAGGAUUUGAGUAAGAGCAUAGCUGUUGGGACCCGAAAGAUGGUGAACUAUGCUUGAAUAGGGUGAAGCCAGAGGAAACUCUGGUGGAGACUCGCAGCGGUUCUGACGUGCAAAUCGAUCGUCAAAUUUGGGCAUAGGGGCGAAAGACUAAUCGAACUAUCUAGUAGCUGGUUCCUGC